rnacentral:lncRNA from 1 species
AACAGAUCCUGGUUGGCGGAUCUUCGGCCCAAUAAUUUAUUAGAGAAAAUUUUAAAAUAUUAUCUUUAGAAUUUUGUAUUGUUUUUACUUUAGUAUUCUGUGAAUUAAAGGGGCUGUUUGGUUGUACGCAUUUGCAACUGCAGUGCAGUUGCAAAUGCGUACAGCCAUAAUUUCUUUGUUUGGUUUAGUGUAGUUGAGUUCAACUGCUGCAGUUCCAACGGCAUAAGAAGGCCCAAAUGCUGCAGUUGGAACUGCAUCCAAAUUGGUCGUAGUUCCAACUGCAGCAGUUGGUGAGGAAUAGGAUCACCCAC